rnacentral:hammerhead_ribozyme from 1 species
AUCCAACUGACGAGUACCAAACAGGACGAUAUGAGCGUCUUGGAU